AAAGGAAUAGACGGGGGCCCGCACAAGCGGAGGAACAUGUGGUUUAAUUCGAUGAUACGCGAGGAACCUUACCUGGGUUUAAAUGGGGAGUGACAGGUGUCGAAAGAUGCUUUUCCUUCGGGACACUCUUCAAGGUGCUGCAUGGUUGUCGUCAGCUCGUGCCGUGAGGUGUCGGGUUAAGUCCCAUAACGAGCGCAACCCUUGCCGAUAGUUGCCAUCACGUAAAGGUGGGCACUCUAUCGGGACUGCCGGUGUAAACCGUGAGGAAGGUGGGGAUGACGUCAAAUCAGCACGGCCCUUACAUCCAGGGCUACACACGUGUUACAAUGGCCAGUACAGAGGGCCGCUACCCCGCGAGGGGAUGCCAAUCUCGAAAGCUGGUCUCAGUUCGGAUUGAAGUCUGGAACCCGACUUCAUGAAGCCGGAUUCGCUAGUAAUCGCGCAUCAGCCACGGCGCGGUGAAUACGUUCCCGGGCCUUGUACACACCGCCCGU
rnacentral:rRNA from 1 species